AAAUUCCAAAAAGUUGUGCCAAAUACAGCUAAGGUAAUCUAUGCCUGGAACUUGUUCUUUAAUACUGAAGGCUUUCAGCGUAAUGAUAAUGUCUCCUGACACAUUGUGACUUCACUCAUAACUUCUCUUCAGACAUUGGGAUGUCACUGAAAAUGUCUUCUAUCAUGGCCCAAAGCUGUGAUAUAAGAUAUAAUACGAGCAAUUGAGCAGC
rnacentral:lncRNA from 1 species